rnacentral:rRNA from 1 species
AGUGACGAUAGCCUAGGAGAUACACCUGUACCCCAUGCCGAACACAGAAGUUAAGCCCUAGAACGCCGGAAGUAGUUGGGGGUUGCCCCCUGUGAGAUAGGGAAGUCGCUUAGCU